AUGGAACAGGAAUUGCAAUGUUUUUUUUUUUUUUUUUUUUUUUUU
rnacentral:ribozyme from 1 species